AAUUGCCCGGAUACAUUAGCAUGGAAUAAUACUAUAGGAUUUUGGUUCUAUUUUGUUGGUUUCUAGGACUAAAAUAAUGAUUAAUAGGGACAAUUGGGGGCAUUCGUAUCAACACGCUAGAGGUGAAAUUCUUGGAUUGUGUUGCGACGAACUACUGCGAAAGCAUUUGCCAAGGAUGUUUUCAUUGAUCAAGAACGAAAGUAAGGGGAUCGAAGAUGAUUAGAUACCGUCGUAGUCUUUACCACAAACUAUGCCAACUAGAGAUGGGGCAUCGUUCAAUACGACUUGCUCCGCACCUUAUGAGAUAUCAAAGUCUUUGGGUUCCGGGGGGAGUAUGGUCGCAAGUCUGGAACUUAAAGGAAUUGACGGAAGGGCACCACCAGGAGUGGAGCCUGCGGCUUAAUUUGACUCAACACGGGGAAACUCACCAGGUCCAGACAUAAUAAGGAUUGACAGAUUGAUAGCUCUUUCUUGAUUUUAUGGGUGGUGGUGCAUGGCCGUUCUUAGUUCGUGGAGUGAUUUGUCUGCUUAAUUGCGUUAACGAACGAGACCUUAACCUGCUAAAUAGGAGCGUCUAUCUUCGGAUAAGCGCCUUUCUUCUUAGAGGGACUUUGUGCGUUUCAGCAUGAGGAAGUUUGAGGCUAAAACAGGUCUGUGAUGCCCUUAGAUGUUCUGGGCUGCACGCGCGCUACACUGAUGCGUUCAACGAGUGUACAACCUUGCCCGAUAGGGUUAUCAGACCGUCGUGAUUACGUCCCUGCCCUUUGUACACACCGCCCGUCGCUCCUACCGAUUGAGCAAUCCGGUGAAUAUUUCGGACCGGACCCUGUCGGGGCAACUCGUUCAGGGACUGGAAAGUCAAGUUAACCUUAUUGCUUAGAGGAAGGAGAAGUCGUAACAAGGUUUCCGUAG
rnacentral:rRNA from 1 species